CGUGACCCUGGGAGCCCGGCUCAGCGCGGGGCCCGGGUACUACUGCGCAGACGUGAGGAUGUCGCGAGGGCACGUGACUGGGAUUGUGAAGCCGGCCCUGGCCGCCUGUCUUAAAUCUCUUCAGGAUUGAAACAGUGGAUCCUGGAACUCUCCUUCGCAGUCCAACGACCAAGGAAUGAAUUAUUCUUGGAAUGACACUUCGUAAAUAUAAGGUGGGCCUCAUCCAGUCCACUGGAGGCCUGAAUAGAACAAGAAAGGCUGAAGAAAGGAGAAUUCACUCCCUGCCUGACUGUCUGCCAGCUGGGACAUCAGUCUUCUCUUGCCUUAGGAGAAUGGGUUAGAAAUGUGCGGAAAUGAGUUAACAUAGCAGCCCUGACUACUAUCCUUUGAAAGUCUGGCUUACAAGAUUGGUCCUUGGUGAGUGUCUGGAUUUUGGACGGAUUUCUACCACUCAAUUGGAGAAAGAUGGAAAUAUUUUGAAGACCAUUGCAUGCCUGCAAGUCCUUCAGCAAUUGAAACCACUUUUCUGUGUCCUUUCUUUUUGCCCACCCCUCUUUAUGUUCCAGUAAUAAAUUAAUUACUACUUGUAAUUCCCUUAAAGUCCUUUACUUCCAAGACUCUGGGUCUUUGUUUAUAAUGUUUUCCUGGCCUAAAAUUUCAUUAUCCCACUACUACCAGACUAGCUGGCCUACUCCUACUCAUUUUUCAUCUCAAUUUAAACUACUCCACCAUGCUCCCAUUACUCUUAAUAAACUGAUUACACCGAGAA